GCACCUCAUAAAACGGGUGCCGGGAUUCUCAACCCGAUACAGAGCAAAGCGCAUAACCGCGCUAGCGGUUUUUUU
rnacentral:sRNA from 21 species